rnacentral:tmRNA from 1 species
CCAGGAUCGACGUGUGUUGAAAGGCACUGUUUUCGCCCGGGCUGAGUAACCCGUAAAAGGCUCAAAACACACAAGUGCCAAUGACAAUGAAGCACUCGCUAUUGCCGCGUAAUUUUAGGGGCUAACGCCCUGAAUUUACAAAGCUAAAGCGCGGUUGGACCCACCGGGCAACAGAAGCGGAUUCCAGGGGCCCGAGGCGAGCCUGGCAACAGAAUCGCCUCACU